AUUCCCCACGGAAGCACUUUUGUUCCACUGUGAUCCUCGUCCCAGGAGAGAUCUUCUGGAAUCCCCCUCCGUUGACAUACGCUGAUCGCUGCGCUUUCAACGCCGACCCAAGCCAGGUACGCCUUCUCUGUGGCAGCACCUUCGUUCCACUGCUAUCCUCAUCCCCAGGGAGGUGUUCUGGAUUCCCCCUCCAUCGGCAGACUCCGCCCGCUAUGCUUUUGUCGCCUAUCCAAGCCAGACCGAUGAGCUUUGGUGAACAGUCCUAGGAACGCGAUUCGAAGGACUCUCUAUGGAAGACUAAUAUGUUAGAAAAAAGGGCACUUUGGCACAAAAGGUACUCCUUCCCCAUGACAGCACCUUCGUUCCACUUCGAUCCUCGUCCACGGGGAGGUCUUCUGGAUUCCCCCUCCGUCGACAGACGCUGCCCGCUACGCUUUCUACGCCGAUCCAAGCCAAGUAGAAGAAAAACGGCGCACACACCACCCAUGGCUGCCGCUAGGGUUUGGUGAACGGUCCCAGGAACGCAAGUCGGAGGCCUCUCUAAGGAAGACAAAUAUGUUAGAAAAAAAGGCACUUUGGCACAAAAGGUACGCCUUUCCCGUGGCAGCACCUUCAUUCCGCUUAGAUCCUGGUCCCCAGGGAGGUCUUCUGGAUUUCCCCUCCAUCAGUAGACACCGCCCGCUAUGCUUUCGUCGCUGA